AUCAAUCUGACAAGUCCUAAAUAGGACGAAACACGCGUCCUGGAU
rnacentral:hammerhead_ribozyme from 1 species